rnacentral:rRNA from 1 species
AUUGAACGCUGGCGGCAGGCCUAAUACAUGCAAGUCGAGCGAGCGGCGGACGGGUGAGUAAUGCCUGGGAAUUGCCUAGUCGAGGGGGAUAACAGUUGGAAACGACUGAUAAUACCUCAUACGAUUUGAGUGUCCAGGUGGGAUUAGCUAGUUGGUGAGGUAAUGGCUCACCAAGGCAACGACCCCUAGCUGGUCUGAGAGGAUGAUCGGCCACACUGGAACUGAGACACGGUCCAGAGUCCUACGGGAGGCAGAAGUGGGGAAUAUUGCACAAGGGGGGAAACCCUGACGCAGCCAUGCCGCGUGAGUGAAGAAGGCCUUCGGGUUGUAAAGCACGUUCAGCGAGGAGGCGUUACUCGAAGAGGAAGCACCGGCUAACUCCGUGCCAGCAGCCGCGGUAAUUC